rnacentral:rRNA from 1 species
UGGGGGAUAUUGCACAAUGGGCGCAAGCCUGAUGCAGCGACGCCGCGUGGGGGAUGAAGGCCUUCGGGUUGUAAACUUCUUUUGCUCUGAACAAGGCGCACUUGGGGGUGUGUUGAGUGUAGGGGUUGAUUAGCGCCGGCUAACUACGUGCCAGCAGCCGCGGUAAUACGUAGGGCGCGAGCGUUGUCCGGAAUUAUUGGGCGUACAGGGCUUGUAGGUGGCUGGUGGCGUCUGUCUUGAAAGCUCAUGGCUUAACUGUGGGUUUGCGGUGGGUACGGGCUGGCUUGAGUGCAGUAGGGGGGGCUGGAAUUCCUGGUGUAGGGGUGGAAUGGGCAGAUAUCAGGAGGAAUACCGGUGGCGGAGGCGGGUCUCUGGGCUGUUACUGACACUGAGGAGCGAAAGCAUGGGGAGCGAACAGG